CAUCACAGCCCCUAUCUGCCCCGGAAGUGAUAACGCACCCGGAAUCACCAUAGUUACUGGGCCUCGUAAACCAGGCAAACUGGAGGAACAGCGCCUCAUAUUUCGCUUGGGCAGCAGACAACCCAGCGCUCUCGCUGCUCGAUGAUGAGAGCAGAUUUCAUCUUUACAAAAUGAGUGUAAUCCUGGAGCUCAUCUUCCGACAAAUGCUUGACCAGAAUAUCAUGGACGACUCGCUCCCUGUGAUCCACAUGUUCUUUCAGCUCUUUAGCCUCUUCAAGUUGUGCUAUGCUGCCUGAUCUGCAGAACCUUUCCAGCAAUUUUGGUUUCUAAUGAGCAAAUCAUGUCUGAUGCAUCUGAUGGCAAUUUUUUCAUGAGGAAAGGUAAAAUAAAUGUAAAAUGAAAGGUAAAAGAAAGCAGUCAUGGCAAAUGAUUGAUUUUAAGACCAGACCAUGGUAAACAUUGAUGAUCAGCAAGGAUCAAUGUUCGUACUGCCUUUAUUGAUAUAUACUUCAAUGUAGGUGAGGAAGAUAGAAGUUAACUGCAAGAGGGCACAGAGCAAAAACAGAGGAAUUUUAUUGAAUGUUUAUAUUAUUAAAAAUGGACAGGCCACAACACUUCAAUUCUGGUCAACAAAUUUUGGGACAGGUUGAAGGGCAUCACAAGGUUGGAGGAAAUAUUCCAUGGAUAAGGUAUUUCAGAUACCAAGUUAGACGAGAGACACUUUGUUUGUUUGUUGGAAGGUUGAAGAAAGACAGCUUGAUGGAUGUGUACAACAUCCUGAUGAGUUUUGAUAAGGUGAAUGUAGAGAAACUAUUCCUUUGUGAUGGUUCAUGGACCAGUGGACACGAAUGCAAAGAUAGAAUAAGGAAACAAAGAAAUACUUAAAUAUGCAGACUGAGCGAAUUAAAUGGAAAAUUAUUUAUAGAGAUACAGAGAAGAUUUGGGGGCAUGGGAUGGAUUAAAUUGUUCCGAAGUAGCUUGCCUGGAUCUGAGGGGAAAAAUGACCACAUUCUGUGUCAGAGUUCCAUGAUUUGAUUAUGAUGAUGGGAUCUUUGACAACCACCCAAGCCAACUGAUGAUGCCUGGGUUUAUUAUCUCAUCAAAGAUGAGUGCAGCCUCUGUUAGUGUAAACUUCUAAAAGGAGUGAGGGGGAGAAACAGGAAACACACCCGAAAUGUUGUGUACGGUUUUGCCAUUUAAAGAGAAAUCCAGUAGACUAAGCAGGGCUCAUAAUUAACGGUUUCCCGGGUGCCAAUUGCCACCUAAAGUCCUGCCAGGCAACCUAAAAGCCGUGCCAUUUUGCCUGGCUUGGCAAGCACCAGGGACACCUGCCAUUCAACUCUGAGCAGGGCCCCCCUCUCUAUCUCUCUUGUCUCCGCCCGCCAUCCGUGUCUGGGCCUCCGGGCUCCGCUCUAUGAACUUUAGCCAGGUCUCCGCUCUCCGGCUGCUCCUCAUCCGCCUGCACGGCCGGCCGCCUUGCACAUGCGCACUGCCAUGGUCUGCACAUCCUCCCCCUGCACAUGCGCACAACCACGGCCAGCACAUAAUUGGCCGCCCCGCGCAUGCGCACUGCCACAGCAGCUGGUUGUUGCCGGGCACUUUCUCCCUCCCUUUGCAUUGUGGGAGAUCUGGCCCCUAUUGCUGUCUGGUCGCCACCUCGCCGCGACCACUGAAAACCAACGCAGAAACACUCCCUGGAGCUGGAGUAACUCCUGCUUCAGGGUGCAAGAGUUACUCCAAAAAUAUUCCAAAUGGAAUUUAAACUGGAAGUGGUGAAGGAUCCACCACCAAACUCCAAACAAUAACAGCCUAUUGAACUGUAUCUGUUUAUUUAUUGUGCAUAUAUAUGGUCUAUGGUAUAUAGACACACUGAACUUUUAUCUCCUGUUCUGUAUUAUGUUUACAUAUUCUGUUGUUCUAGAAUUUCAUUGUCCUAUCUGGGACACAUACAAUAAAACUCUUGACUUGGACUUAAGCAAAAAGGGUUCUUGGGGAAAAAAUGAGCUACCUUAAAUUUAGUUGCAUCUGGUUGGGUAACUAUGGUAGGGUGAAGACUAUUCCAUGCUUUAAUUGUGCGGGGGAACUCCAUGGAGCAGCCAGCAUCUCUGGAUAGAAGAAAUUGGAUGACGUUUUGGGUAGAGGCCCUUCUUUAGACUCCCUCUGGUUUUAGUGUUUUUAGUUUAAUUUAAAGAUACAGUGUGGAAACAGGCCCUUCGGCCCACCGAGUCCACGCCGACCACCGACCACCCGCACACUAGUUCUAUCCCACACAUUAGCAACAUAAAUAUUACGUUUUGGGUUGGGUCUGAAAAAGGUUCCUGCACAUCUUUGGAAUAUGGAAGGAAACAAGAGCACCCGGAGAAAACCCACGUGAUCAAAGGGAAAAGAAGCAAAAUCCAUACAGACAGCACCAAUAUUCAGGAUCAAUUCCGGGUCUCUAGCACUUUUACGCAGCAACUUUAUGGCCAAUAGUCUUGAACUGAAUUAAACAUACAGUAGCUGUAAAGGGGGACAUAGUGUCACUUAGAGAUUUAAGUCUGAAAAUUGAUAGUUUCUUUUUUUUAGUAACCAAAGUUAUCAACGUAUAAUUUUUUGUAUGUUGGAAAACAAAAUAUUGUGCCAUAGCUGGUAGACGUGCUGCCUCACACACCAGAGAUCUGUGUUCGAUCCUGUCCUCAGGCACCCUCUGUGUUGAAUUUGCACACUCUCCCUGCAAGCAUAUGGGGUCCUCCCACAUCCCAAAGACCCAUUGGCUUUGUAGGUUAACUUGUAUCUGUAAAAUUGCCCCUAAUGUAGGAAGUGGGUGAGGA